ACGAGGGACCUAACUGCCAUACCUGGGCUCACGGGAGGAGCACGAGCAGUCCAGGAGGAGGUUAGAAAUAAAACUGCCGGGGCUGAAGGAGGGCAGAGGCUGUUCGGUUGGAGCUGUGGUCGGAUGCCUGAGGAGAGGAGAGCGUGAUUGAGGAGAGGACGGACGUCACUGUGUCUGACCGGAAUUAACCCGGGAGCAAAGGAGUGGAGGCGGAGCCGCAAAGCAGCGCUGUCAGCGGCGGCAUAGACAUAUCAGUGUAAGCCGCCAGUAUUAAGGGAAGAGACGCGGGGAGGAGCGAGACAGCGAGACGAGACUCCAGGGAGGAGCUAUACCGUUGGGCAGCCAAGGUCUCCAUGUGACGGAUGAUCGGCCGAGGUCCUCUGGAGAGGGGAGCUGGGACGUAGCAGCCUCCUGAGAAGGGAGAUAUCAUACCGCUGCCUCCGCUGUACUUAAACAUACAAUUAUACUUACCGUCGAAGGGUUCAGCAGGACGUGACUGACCUGGAAAAGAAGAGGAAGAAACAUACAAUUAUACUUACCGUCGAAGGGUUCAGCAGGACGUGACUGACCUGGAAAAGAAGAGGAAGGUAUUUACUUUAUAAUUAUAACUUAUUAUACUGCCUU